rnacentral:rRNA from 1 species
CCUACGGGUGGCAGCAGUGAGGAAUAUUGGUCAAUGGGCGAGAGCCUGAACCAGCCAAGUCGCGUGAAGGAUGAAGGAUCUAUGGUUUGUAAACUUCAUUUAUAGGGGAAUAAAGUGAGGAACGUGUUCCUUUUUGUAUGUACCAUAUGAAUAAGCAUCGGCUAACUCCGUGCCAGCAGCCGCGGUAAUACGGAGGAUGCGAGCGUUAUCCGGAUUUAUUGGGUUUAAAGGGUGCGUAGGUGGUUAGUUAAGUCAGCUGUGAAAGUUUGUGGCUCAACCAUGAAAUUGCCGUUGAAACUGGUUGGCUUGAGUGUAUUUGAGGUAGGCGGAAUGCGUGGUGUAGCGGUGAAAUGCAUAGAUAUUAGGCGGAACACCAGUGGCGAAGGCGGCCUACUGGACGGUGACUGACGCUGAGGCUCGAAAGCGUGGGGAGCAAACAGGAUUAGAUACCCUGGUAGUC